AUUUCAAAUGCAACAAGCGCUGACAAAUAGUGGCGAUCGUUGGACAACGAGUCGAUCAAGCGGUUAGAUAAUAGAUUUCAAAGCAUGCGUCUGCAAUUGCCAUAUGUCGUUUUGUUCAUUUGAUAUUUUGUAUGAAGAUAUAAACGAAUAAAAAGAGUACACCUUGCAAAGGUUGCUUGAAAAUUUAAAAAUCACCGAGUAAGUGCAUUAAUUGUCAAAGAUGAUCAUUUUUUUAUUCAUAAAAUUUCAAAAAUUCCGAAAGUAAACAACACCUCAUUGGCACGGAAAAUUUUUUUGUUAGAAAUUUCUGCGCUAACUAAAAACACUUCAGCCAUCACCUAAUGCAGUGCCCUUGCUGGUGCUAUCGACCGGCUCCUUGUGGUCCUUAUGGCCCCUUCGGUCCAUGGGGUUGUAUAGGACCAUGCGGUGCCAUAGGUCCAUGCACGCCUUGUGGUGCGCCGUGGGGUUCGUGUCAGCCGUGUGGCAGUUCGUGUUACGGCUCUUCGUGUUAUGGGCGUAGAUGUUGUUAAAGCAAGUUACCGAUGCAAACGAGCGCACGCAGCAAAGCAAGCAGGUGAAGAUUAAUGAGGAAACGCAGCGUCGAUUUGGGCAAUGAAUUGGGUGAAUUGCAAUAAUGGCAAGUGUAUUUCGUUACAAACAUGUGAACUGCAAGGUGAAGGCACAAAAAUCAUA
rnacentral:lncRNA from 1 species